UGCAUUGAAAACUUUUUAGAAUAUGUUACAUUGAUAGUUGUUUGCAUUGAAACCACUUUAGCAUAAUAGUGAAAUCUUGUUUGCAUUGAAACCUUUUUAACAUAUAAGUAAAACUUUGUUUGCAUUGAAAUCAUUUUCUACUCAUUUGCAUUGAAAACGUUUUAGCUAUGUUACAUUGAUAGUUGUUUGCAUUGAAAACACUUUAGCAUAAUAGUGAAAUCUUGUUUGAAUUGAAAACCUUUCAGCAUAUAAGUGAAACCUUGUUUGCAUUGAAAUCAUUUUAUACUCAUUUGCAUUGAAAACAUUUUAGCAUAUGUUACAUUGAUAGUUGUUUAAAUUGAAACCAAUUUAGCAUAAUAGUGAAAUCUUGUUUGAAUUGAAAACCUUUCAGCAUAUAAGUGAAACCUUGUUUGCAUUGAAAUCAUUUUAUACUCAUUUGUAUUGAAAACGUUUUAGUAUAUGUUACAUUGAAAAUAAUUUAGCAUAAUAGUGAAAUCUUGUUUGCAUUUAAACAUUUUUAGCAUAUAAGUGAAACUUUGUUUGCAUUGAAAUCAUUUUAUAGUCAUUUGCAUUGAGAACUUUUUAGCUAUGUUACAUUGAUAGUUGUUUGCAUUGAAAACACUUUAGCAUAAUAGUGAAAUCUUGUUUGCAUUUAAACAUUUUUAGCAUAUAAGUGAAACUUUGUUUGCAUUGAAAUCAUUUUCUACUCAUUUGCAUUGAAAACAUUUUAGCAUAUGUUACAUUGAUAGUUGUUUCCAUUGAAAACACUUUAGCAUAAUAGUGAAAUCUUGAUUGCAUUGAAACCUUUUUAGCAUAUAAGUGAAACCUUGUUUACAUUGAAAUCAUUUUAUAGUCAUUUGCAUUGAAAACUUUUUAGCUAUGUUACAUUGAUAGUUGUUUGCAUUGAAACCUUGUUAGCAUAUAAGUGAAACCUUGUUUGCAUUGAAAUCAUUUUGUACUCAUUUGCAUUGAAAACUUUUUAGCAUAUGUUACAUUGUUCGUUGUUUGCAUUGAAA
rnacentral:lncRNA from 1 species